rnacentral:rRNA from 1 species
UACGGGGGGGGCAAGCGUUGUUCGGAAUUACUGGGCGUAAAGGGCUCGUAGGUGGCCAACUAAGUCAGACGUGAAAUCCCCAGGCUCAACUUGGGAACUGUGUCUGAUACUGGAUGGCUUGAAUUCGGGAGAGGGAUGCAGAAUUCCAGGUGUAGCGGUGAAAUGCGUAGAUAUCUGGAGGAAUACCGGUGGCGAAGGCGGCGUCCUGGACCGAGAUUGACACUGAUGAGCGAAAGCUAGGGGAGCAAACGGG